CUGGUGCAGCUGGUGCAGUCUGGGCCUGAGGUGAAGAAGCCUGGGGCCUCAGUGAAGGGUUUCUGCAAGGCUUCUGGUUACAGCUUUACCACCUAUGGUAUGAAUUGGGUGAGACAGGUCCCUGGAGAAGGGCUUGAGUGGAUGGGAUGGAUGAACACCAACCCUGGGAACCCAACAGUGCAUCUGCAGAUCAGCAGCCUAAAGGCUGAGGACACUGCUGUGUAUUACUGUAUGAGAGACACAGUGUGGAAACCCACAUCCUGA